UACGGGGGGGGCAAGCGUUGUUCGGAAUUAUUGGGCGUAAAGAGCUCGUAGGCGGCUUGUCACGUCGGGUGUGAAAGCCCGGGGCUUAACCCCGGGUCUGCAUUCGAUACGGGCUAGCUAGAGUGUGGUAGGGGAGAUCGGAAUUCCUGGUGUAGCGGUGAAAUGCGCAGAUAUCAGGAGGAACACCGGUGGCGAAGGCGGCUCGCUGGAUCUUUUCUGACGCUGAGGCGCGAAAGCUAGGGGAGCAAACGGG
rnacentral:rRNA from 1 species